GGUAAGGGAUUGCCUCAAUAGUCCCGUGUGCAAUGGCUGCAGCCAACCGGGUCACAUUGUACGAGAUUGUCCUCUGAUGGACUCUGCCCCUCCUGUUCGAGGACCUACUUCUACUUUUAAUCCGAAUGAUAUGGUUUGUCAUAAUUGUCACCAACGCGGUCACAAAAGCAAAGAAUGCUUGCAGGUUGUGGUCUGCAAUAAUUGUGGAGGUCGGGGACAUUUAGCUGUGGAAUGUCCAUCUACACCUAUGUUGGCGAGACCACGUCGAAGGUGAUGAAGCAUACUUGAAGAAAGACUUUCUUUCAGUUGCCUUGAGUUUACGAGACAGACUUACGGUUGUAGUAUGGAACUGCCAUUACCAAAAGUGUUGCAAUUAUAAUUAAAAUACAAGCUGACUUUCUAGCACUUCUUAUGUUUUGUAGUCAACUUGGGCUGAAAGCAACGAAGCUAUUUGCUAAGAAAGUGUUGUUUAUUUCUGGUUGGACAUAGAUUGCCAGUAAAGGUCUAGAACUGGAGGUAAGUGUGGUUUUAUUGCAAUAAUGUGUUACUAAGCGUCUUUUUUUACUCAAAUUUCACCAACUUUGAUUGUUACUAUCAGUGUUGGAUUGUUCAUUUUUGACCAA